rnacentral:rRNA from 1 species
AUGCAGUCAGCGAUGCGAUGCUUCUUCGGAACGUCAUUAGCGGCGGACGGGUGAGUAACACGUGAGUAACCUGCCUCAAAGAGGGGAAUAGCCUCCCGAAAGGGAGAUUAAUACCGCAUAAUAUGUUUUGGUCGCAUGAUCAAAAUAUCAAAGGAUUUUUCUUCGGAAAUUUCCACUUUGAGAUGGACCCGCGGCGCAUUAGCUAGUUGGUGAGGUAACGGCUCACCAAGGCGACGAUGCGUAGCCGACCUGAGAGGGUGAUCGGCCACAUUGGAACUGAGACACGGUCCAGACUCCUACGGGAGGCAGCAGUGGGGAAUAUUGCGCAAUGGGGGAAACCCUGACGCAGCAACGCCGCGUGAAUGAUGAAGGCCUUCGGGUUGUAAAGUUCUGUCUUCUGGGACGAUAAUGACGGUACCAGAGGAGGAAGCCACGGCUAACUACGUGCCAGCAGCCGCGGUAAUACGUAGGUGGCAAGCGUUGUCCGGAUUUACUGGGCGUAAAGGAUGCGUAGGCGGACAUUUAAGUCAGAUGUGAAAUACCCGAGCUUAACUUGGGUGCUGCAUUUGAAACUGGGUGUCUAGAGUGCAGGAGAGGUAAGUGGAAUUCCUAGUGUAGCGGUGAAAUGCGUAGAGAUUAGGAAGAACACCAGUGGCGAAGGCGACUUACUGGACUGUAACUGACGCUGAGGCAUGAAAGCGUGGGGAGCAAACAGGAUUAGAUACCCUGGUAGAAUCACUAGUGAAUUC